rnacentral:lncRNA from 1 species
AUUACAAAGGCUUAGCCUAAGUGGACUCAUGGUUAUUUAAUUGGUUCCGUUAGCUUACUUGAUCAAUCCAAUUGGUGUCUAAGGCAAGCAACGGGGGGACCCCCAUGACUCCACCUCUUAUCUGGUUAGUUGAAGGAAGUGAGAAUAAAUUCAAUUUGUAUUUAGGCUAAGCCACUCUAUAUCGAACUGUUAGGUCUAAG